AGAUUUAUGGAAAUGGAUUAAUUUAAGCUGUCAGAACAGUUAGCAAGAAGCCUGCCACAGCCAUACAGUUUGUAACCAAGCUAGGUCUCUGUGUUUACUUGGUCAGGUCUGAGCGGCUGUGGGACUGGCGGGUGACAAAGAUUUGUCCUGAUUGUGGGCCAGGCAGGAAAACUCCAGCUACAGUGUGGGUUGUUUUUUGUUUUGUUUUUCUUUUUAUUACUGUAGCUUGUGGGUUAGAGUGGCCUUGUCUUAUCUUUCACUGCCAUCUGCUCUCCAAAUUCUCUUCUGAAUAGUAUUGGUCUUAAUCAGACAAACCUGUUUCUUUGUAUAAUCACACAGACACACACACACACACACACACACACACACACACACACACACACACACACACACACGUUUACUUUCUUGGGUUCAAGGCUAGCCAAUUGUUCUUACUCCUUCUAGGUAAAGGUCUUUCAUCGUACCCUUUCUGCUGGAAAUGCCCUUCUUAUAUUCUAAAAAUUCAAUCUCAUCUCUUAGAUUCUUUAUUUUAUAGCAAACUGUGGUAUCCAAAGGAAGUUCCCCAAGCCACACAGAAGAAAGGCCACAGGCCAAAUCACAGUGCUGGAAAGGCUGGCAGUCCAAGAAAGUCCAACAAGAAAGCUUGCUACAUUUGGUGCCCAACAUGGGGCACAUAAAUCCACAUAAGACCUGAGAAAGAUUUCUGGCGACCUCCGCCUCUCGGACAAAAAGGAUCAGACACCAAUGAAGGCAAGUUGCCCAGGUGAUCCAGCCUCUCAGAAUGCCUCUGUUGCAGUUUCCCCCAAAAAUCUACAUCCAGAACAACUUCAAAGCUGCUGAGAUUGUCCAGCCUCACAGACUACUCCAGCCAGGACUUCAGAUAAGCUCUGCACUUUCCCAUCACACAGAGACGGGACAACAAAUGACACAGCUAGCUCUCCAGGACCUGACCAUUAUCCCAAUUGUCUCAGUGUCCCCUAAAGAUGUCAUCACCCCCAGACAACAGGAAGUCUAGAGAACAUGAUGCCCACAUUCCCAAGAGGUGGAGUGAGUGGUUUUUAUGGCCAUUCAGUCAAUUAUGGGUGUUUGUCAUCAUUUGGGGGAGUUAUUUGCAAAUUGUUACUGGUCAUGGUCAGGCAGG